GAUCUCCAUCUGUGUGGUAAGAAAUUAAAAUUCAAACACUGCUAUGGAAGAAGACUUCGAAAGUGCCGAAGAAGACUUCGAAAGCGAUACGGAAGAAGACUUUAAACAGCGACGCAGAGAUGGAUUUUCAGGAGACCAAGUUUGGCCCUCCCGGCCGCCGCCUCCGCCGCCAUUUCAAAGUCAAAGCGAGACAAUUUGCAUAUGGUGGGAAUACUUAUUUCCAGCGCCCGACUCGUUUCUGACCCCAAGCUACCCAAGGUCGCCACCUCCUUUGCUUCAGCCGUCGCAGUCGCCGUCGCCUUUGCCACGGUCACCUGUAUUGCAAUCUUCCUCAUCUUCCCUUUCUUCACCUAGCAGCCCCUCUCCACCACAGCUGGCAUGGAAAAAUGAGGUGGAAAGUGAAGUGGUAGUAGAAGACUCGGAAAGUGAUCAUGAGGAAGAAGCCUUGGAUCGUAUUUCAGCACUGCCAUUUGAUGAAGCAUUGAAACGACGACUAAGAGAAAAAUUUUCACCAGACAUAGAAUGGCCACCGCCGCAGCACAGGUGAAUCUGGAAAUUAAUCUUCGUUGUUUUAAGGAAGAGAAGAGGGACCUUCAUUCUCGGAAUUCCUUUUUCAUCACCGGUAAAGCAGAGGACUUUUGGUUCAAUUUCCUCUUCAAUUACUCCAUUACAACUAGAGGCUAAUUUCAUGUUAGAGGAAGAAGAAGAAGAUAACGAGAGGGAGGCAAGAGAUGCAAAGGACAAUGCCAUAUGUAUAACCAAGUAGACAAAGAUUAGGUCAAGAUAUAGUCAAUUAACAUCUGUCUAUUGAGAUUUAAUGGGAGGUGUUAGUUUCUCUAUUUUUAAAAGUUCAUAAUUUAUUUUGCACCAUCUCAUAGUUUAAGCUACUAGACACUCCUAAAAGAUAGUUGAUGGUUAAAUUUAUUCCUUUACCCUUAUUAAUUUAGCCAAGU